UCUUUCACACAUUCUUUGCAUUCACAUUAUUUAAACAUGUAUAUCACCAAUCAAUUUCAUCACAUAUCUAUAAUUUCACUUAAGCAUAAUCUCAAUACAAUACAUCAUGCUCAAUGAUUCACACACAACCGUUCAAAUUAGCAAUUAUAAGAUGGAUCCGCACAUAGCCCACCCUUAUCGAUAAUUUACGAUGGUUUUACCCUUACUCACAUAUAUGACAUAGGCAUUUUCACCUAUGCUUCUCAUUUCACAUUCAUGAUUCAAUUCCAAUCAAUCUAACAUGCAUAAGUAUAUAUCACAUACCUGGCCAACUUAAUGUAUUGAAU
rnacentral:lncRNA from 1 species